UAUAACCUUUGAGUUCAUUGUAGGCUCCUGAGUCCAUUCGUACCAUUUAUAGGAAGGGAAAGCUUAGAAAACCCGAGAACCCAAGAUUCCAAUUUUGAGGUAUUGUUCAUGCAGUCAUAAAUGCACAAUUUUUAAAGGAUUUCAAGCUUAUAGGAAGCUUAGGGACCCUUCCACGAAGCUCAGAGAAGAAAAAUGACAUAAUUUGGACGUCGGGAAGUUGAGAUAGAUGCAUUUGAAGUUUGACCGGAUUAUCGAAGGUCCACCGGCAAAUUUCCGUGGAUUUUAGGUCCCAAAACAGGUAUGGUUGUAUUCUAUUCGUCCUAAGCUUCAAUUUGCUUCAAGUUUCAUGAAAUUUGGUGGAAAAUUGAGUGAUAAAUGAAGGUAUUAUUAUUUUCCAGAAAUCGGCAACGCAGAGGUCACCGGCGUUGGACUCUGGCGAGCUGAGGAAGACGAAGGAGCAUAUUCCGUCAAAUCUGACGAAAUAUUCUAACUGCAAAAGGUAACGCCGUUAACGUCUGUUAAGGUUUUAACGAAAUAUUCCAUGGAAUAUUCCUAA
rnacentral:lncRNA from 1 species